AGAGUUUGAUCCUGGCUCAGAACAAACGCUGGCGGCGUGCCUAAUACAUGCAAGUCGUGCGGGAAAGUGGGGGCAACUCCAUGAGUAAAGCGGCAAACGGGUGAGUAACACGUAAGCAACUUACCCCCAAGUCGGGAAUAUCCCUGCCAACGCGGGGUUAAUGCCCGAUGUGGUCACGUGGUCGCAUGGCCGUGUGAUCAAAGAUGACCUCUUCCUGAAAGUUGUUGCUUGGGGAUGGGCUUGCGGCUCAUUAGCUAGUUGGCGGGGUAACGGCCCACCAAGGCUAUGAUGGGUAGCCGGCCUGAGAGGGUGUCCGGCCACAUUGGGACUGAGAUACGGCCCAGACUCCUACGGGAGGCAGCAGUAGGGAAUCUUGCGCAAUGGGCGAAAGCCUGACGCAGCAACGCCGCGUGAGGGAUGAAGGUUUUCGGAUCGUAAACCUCUGUUGGGUGGGAAGAAACUUCGGGGGGAUAAUCUACCCCGGACUGACGGUACCACCUGAGGAAGCCCCGGCUAACUACGUGCCAGCAGCCGCGGUAAUACGUAGGGGGCAAGCGUUGUUCGGAAUCACUGGGCGUAAAGGGAGCGUAGGCGGGAGAGUAAGUUAGGAGUCUAAUUCACUGGCUCAACUGGUGGCCGGCUCCUAAAACUGCUUUUCUUGAGUAUGGGAGAGGAAGAUGGAAUUCCAGGUGUAGCGGUGGAAUGCGUAGAUAUCUGGAAGAACACCAGUAGCGAAGGCGGUCUUCUGGCCCAAUACUGACGCUGAGGCUCGAAAGCUAGGGGAGCAAACAGGAUUAGAUACCCUGGUAGUCCUAGCCAUAAACGAUGGACACUUGUUGCUGGGGGAGUCAAUGCCUUCAGCGACGACGCUAACGCAUUAAGUGUCCCGCCUGGGGAGUACGCUCGCAAGGGUGAAACUCAAAGGAAUUGACGGGGGCCCGCACAAGCGGUGGAGCAUGUGCUUUAAUUCGAUGCAACGCGAAGAACCUUACCUGGGCUUGACAUGGGAGUGAAAGUCUCCAGAGAUGGAGGCCUUUCCGCAAGGAACACUCUACACAGGUGCUGCAUGGUUGUCGUCAGCUCGUGUCGUGAGAUGUUGGGUUAAGUCCCGCAACGAGCGCAACCCUCGCCCUUAGUUGCCAUCAGGUAAUGCUGGGAACUCUGAGGGGACUGCCUGGUCUCAACCAGGAGGAAGGUGGGGAUGACGUCAAAUCAUCAUGGCUCUUACGUCCAGGGCUAGACACGUGCUACAAUGGCCGGUACAAUGGGAUGCCACACCGUAAGGUGGAGCAAAUCCCCAAAACCCGGCCUCAGUUCAGAUUGGAGUCUGCAAUUCGACUUCAUGAAGCUGGAAUCGCUAGUAAUCGCGGAUCAGCAUGCCGCGGUGAAUACGUUCCCGGGCCUUGUACACACCGCCCGUCAAGCC
rnacentral:rRNA from 1 species